rnacentral:rRNA from 2 species
CUUGGACCGCAUGGUCCGAGCUUGAAAGAUGGCUUCGGCUAUCACUUUUGGAUGGUCCCGCGGCGUAUUAGCUAGAUGGUGGGGUAACGGCUCACCAUGGCAAUGAUACGUAGCCGACCUGAGAGGGUAAUCGGCCACAUUGGGACUGAGACACGGCCCAAACUCAUACGGGAGGCAGCAGUAGGGAAUCUUCCACAAUGGACGAAAGUCUGAUGGAGCAACGCCGCGUGAGUGAAGAAGGGUUUCGGCUCGUAAAACUCUGUUGUUAAAGAAGAACAUAUCUGAGAGUAACUGUUCAGGUAUUGACGGUAUUUAACCAGAAAGCCACGGCUAACUACGUGCCAGCAGCCGCGGUAAUACGUAGGUGGCAAGCGUUGUCCGGAUUUAUUGGGCGUAAAGCGAGCGCAGGCGGUUUUUUAAGUCUGAUGUGAAAGCCUUCGGCUCAACCGAAGAAGUGCAUCGGAAACUGGGAAACUUGAGUGCAGAAGAGGACAGUGGAACUCCAUGUGUAGCGGUGAAAUGCGUAGAUAUAUGGAAGAACACCAGUGGCGAAGGCGGCUGUCUGGUCUGUAACUGACGCUGAGGCUCGAAAGUAUGGGUAGCAAACAGGAUUAGAUACCCUGGUAGUCCAUACCGUAAACGAUGAAUGCUAAGUGUUGGAGGGUUUCCGCCCUUCAGUGCUGCAGCUAACGCAUUAAGCAUUCCGCCUGGGGAGUACGGCCGCAAGGCUGAAACUCAAAGGAAUUGACGGGGGCCCGCACAAGCGGUGGAGCAUGUGGUUUAAUUCGAAGCUACGCGAAGAACCUUACCAGGUCUUGACAUACUAUGCAAAUCUAAGAGAUUAGACGUUCCCUUCGGGGACAUGGAUACAGGUGGUGCAUGGUUGUCGUCAGCUCGUGUCGU